GGAGGGGUGCAAACGUUGCUCGGAAUUACUGGGCGUAAAGCGCAUGUAGGCGGUCUGCUAAGUCUCGUGUGAAAGCCCUGGGCUCAACCCAGGAAGUGCACGAGAAACUGGCAGGCUAGAGUGCGGGAAAAGAGGGCGGAAUUCCCGGUGUAGAGGUGAAAUUCGUAGAUAUCGGGAGGAACACCAGUAGCGAAAGCGGCUCUCUCGACCGACACUGACGCUCAGAUGCGAAAGCGUGGGGAGCAAACAGGAUUAGAUACCCUGGUAGUCCACGCCGUAAACGAUGGGCACUAGGUGUCGGGGGCUUGACCCCUUCGGCGCCGUAGCUAACGCAUUAAGUGCCCCGCCUGGGGAGUACGGUCGCAAGACUA
rnacentral:rRNA from 1 species